ACACAUAAGGCUCUUGUUUGAGUUGACCCUACCUUUAAGUGCAUAGGGUAGCUAUGUUCCUAAGAUCAACUUAAGUGCAUAGGGUAGCUAUGUGCUUACGGUAAUCUUAGGGAUAAGAUCGCUCCAUGGAACUGGGCCAUGGAAAGAAUUGUUUAUGUUUCCUUUUCAAAUUAGGACAUUUGGCAAUUUAAUAAUAAAAUACUGUCAUUCAAGAAAGAUUUGCAAAAAACCCAAUGUAUAACUGUGAAUGACUAAUGAAUGCAAUACUCUAUUCACGCAAUAAUAUGGUGACUUUGCUGCAAGUGAAAAAACAAUAAAUAAAUACAUUAAGUUUUCACUGUGUGAUAAUUGGUCAACUGUACUGUUGAGGAAGCAAACCCCACAAAAGCCAGCUACGCAUAGCUAUUCAAUUGUCUUUCGACAGUUGUCUAAUAUAGGAUACAAUCCACUCACCUUGAAUGGGUUUGAUUACACAGAUGUUUGAAAUGUCAACAUUCGGUACAUUACAAGUAGCUGAUAAGUGAAUCCCUGUUAAUUGAAAGAAAACAUGUCAGGCACAGCUUGUAAGCAUUGAGUUCAAUACUUGAACCCACUCCCACCCACAAAAAAUGCAUUUGCUGUAAGAUAAUUAUUUUUGCUAUCUUUGAGUAACCUCUAAUAUCGUGGUAUAUUUUAUGUAUGCAACAGCUGACAUUGCAAUACUUUCUAUCUGCUGCUUGAGCAGCUGUUGACAUUUCUCAAUACUUCCAUGAUGCAAUAUGUAAAAUUAAUCAGGGCUACCUCUGGGUGUGCAAAACAUUUCGCCAAAUUAUGUCCAUAAAUGUAAAAUUCUGUUAUUUUUCAGCAAAUAUUAAUUAUUGUAUGAAUUUUUUUCGCCAAAUUAAAAUAAAAUUCGCAAUUGGCGAAUUUGGCGAGUGGCAAAGCUAGCCCUGUUAAUGGUUCUGAAGUCAGUAUGCUGAUCAAAUUAAACUUUAAUUUGACUGUUUGCCGAACAGUAGCUUGAACCCUGCCCAAAAUCUGGUUCAUCAGCCAGCUAAUAGAUUGAUGUUGAACUGUACACAGGAUCAGAGGUUUUCCUCGUAAAACAUUGUUUCUCCUCGCAUUUUAAUCGUCCUUGCCGCCGGACCCCUCUAGAUUUUCUCUUGUUUACAGUUCACCACCCCGGACCCCUCUAGAUUUCCUUUUUUUUUACAGUUCACCAAAUCCCACCUCUGUGUACAGCUAGAGAAAUAUUUGUUUAUUUGUUUGCGACAGUCAGACAGUCACCGGAAGAUUGUUUUGUCACGGGUCUGUAGUGAUUAGGAUAUAGUGGAGACAUGAAUAUGAACUAAUUUUGAGGAUAAAAAUGCCGGAUAAUGCAAAUACAUAUUCUUGUGUUCAUAAUAGGGAUAAGUGUGUUAUUAAAAUAGCAUUCAGUAUUUACAUUAUUGUGUGGUGUGCUUUCCAUUUGAAAAGUAUGUUUUGUUUUUUAUUUCUUGUCAUUACUACAUGUGUGUUUGUGGUGUGUGCAUGUGUGUGUGCAGUGUGUGCAUGUGCAUGCAGUGUGUGCUUCUGCACACGUGUGUGUAUGUGCUUGCGUGCACAUGUGUGUGUGCUUGUAUGCACGUGUGUGUGUUUGCUUGCGCAUGCACGUGUUUUGUAUGCAUGUAAUUUUCACUUCAUCUCACGCUAGUGGUCCAUUUAAAUCUUCCCUUAAUCUCGUAUUAUUUGUUCUCUACAUUAACUGUAGGUUUCGUACACCCAUUUCCCAUCUAAAAUUCCAUGACUUCUCAUGACCAUAUAUCUAAAGUUCUAUAACCAUGUUGAAUAUGGGUUUGUUUGGCACAUACAGCAUUUUGCUUCAUGUUUAGUUUGUCCAUCGCGACCAACCCACAUACUAAAAACUUAAUAUUGUAACAAUGUACAUUUUCCAGCAUUGUGGAUAUUAUAUAUUCGCUUCUUAAUUCAGUUGGUCUUUCUUUAAAAUCACAAACAUUAGCCGCCACAGUAAAUCUAUUUGCAAACACACAAUAGCCAUUUUUAACCACAGCUUGUCCUUUGAAAUCUUAUCUUCUCCUACAGUUUUUGAUUGAAUUGUUUUCAAACUUGGUACAGUAAUCCUCUGGGGUACCGUUCAUAAACUAAUAGACAUUUUAAAAUUUUAGAAUUUUAAAAUAUUUAUUAAAUGUUUUUAAAAUUUAAAUUGAAAAUUUUAAUGUCUAUCUUCUCCUUGAGUUUUGAUUGGAUAUUAAAUGGUUAUAGCAGUCAUUAAAAAGCUGUAUCCUGUUAAAUGUGUGAACACCACCUGUUUCCAAAUUAUUCAUCUGCUCGUUGAUCGGGAUAGAUAACCCAUAUAUUUGUCACCAAGUAGCAAGAAAUCAAUAGAAUGCUUUGUGAAUGCCUGUUAUUAUCACGUCUAUUUAUACAUAUAUUUUGUGUUUAUGGAAUUGAUUUUUGAAUACUAAAUUAAUAAAUUCAAUUGGAAAGCAAAA